UCUUCUCCCUUGAGGAAUAGUGAAUUAGGGUUGAGAGGCUCUCUCCUCUAGGGGCCAGGGGGUCCGGUUUUAUAGUCCCUUAAAGUCAAUAUGAGCCAUUGGAACAAACCGACAUUGAUUGAACGGUUAUCCUUGAUUCCAUAGGUCGGUGGAGAUCUUUCCCGAAAGAGUGUCCUGAUUGGACUCCAACAGGGGGCGGGCACCCAGUGCCUCGCCCCGUUCGGCCUCCGCUUCCUUCCCGUGGCUUCUGGAGUCUUCUAGAUGUAAGAUAAUUGCACGGCACGUUGAUAUCUCAAUGUAAUCCCGACGUGUGGGUCUUUCUUCCGUAUUUCCUGAUAACCCCCUGCAGAAAUAGACAAACACC
rnacentral:lncRNA from 1 species